UUGUGUUCCAAGUUCUUUCCAAUUCUAAUUUUCUAUGGUCUGAAGUCUUUUCCAAGUCUAAGAGUAUAUGAUUAUAUGCUAAUACAAGCAACAGCUAAAGGUCCUUUGUGAAUGUCAAACUUCUCCAGCAAUAGAUGAAAAGAACUCUUCGGAAGGCAAAUCUUCUGGUAACUUAGUGAGGAACUGCGCUAUGUGAAUAAAAUCCAUUUUGGUCAAAAUAUCUUCAAACAGUUUGAGUAUUCCCAGAGCAGUACGAAACAGAAACUCUUCACCAUCACGACAGAACACGUCCCAUAUUCGACAUGCCAGAUCAAGUGGCAAAGAUUUACUAUAUAAGAGAAAGGAUCAAGAUAGGAACGGAAGAGAAGAGGUCCCUUUGCUUGCUGAGGAAUAAGGGGAGAAACUCAGGGCUUAUGAUGAAUCAUGCUAUCUACUUCCACUCAGAGAACUAAUGGACUUGGAGUACAGAUUGAAGCACAUUUUUCUUUUCAGUCUUUUCUGGAAUAUGGGCAACAAGGGUAAAUCAGAGGAAUGAUGUAGUUAUGGAUAUGGAAUUACUUAAAGCAUCUGAAAAUGUUAUGAAUGCGAAUAAAAUGAAUCCAUGUGGGCUAUCUGAUGGUAUGGCGGGUGAAUCUGAAACUGGUUGAAUAACUAAACUAAGUGAGCAAAGUAGUCACAAAUGGAUUAACAUCAAAUUAGAGGGUGGUCAUUACUGGGUCAUGCCUGAGAGAUAUAUCUUACAUGCUGCACUAUUCAACAUUUUUAUCAAUAAUGUGGAUGAAAGCAUAUAUAGAAUGCUUAUCAAAUCUAUAGAUGGCAUUAAGCUUAGAAGGGUAAUAACUAACAUGAUGAAUGAUAGGAUCCAGAACUAUUCUGACAAGUUAGAGCCAUAGGCCAACUGAAUAAAUUUAAUUAAGUGGGGACAGAUGCAAAUGCCUACAUUUAAGUGUUUUUGUUUUUAAAAUCCAACUUCAAAAGUAUGAGAAGAGAGAAGACAUAAGUUACUGUGUAAAAAGGCCUGAGGAGACUUCCUGCUCAGUAUGCAUCAUCAAUAAAUAUAGCAUGACAACCAAAAAACGCAUGUUGCAUUAGGCAAGGCAAAGUAGUCCCAAAAGGCUUAACUAGAGACAAUGGUAGAAGUUACAAAGUGGCAACAGCAAGGUGGUUCAGUGGAUAGAGAGUCAGGCCUGGAG